rnacentral:pre_miRNA from 1 species
UCGGGGUAAAAUAGUGAGUAGCCGACCUGGGGAAGUGAUCAACCCUUGGGAUAAGUUUAAAUCUGCUUUUCUUUACUCCAUAAACUUUUUACCAACUUUUUACCGUUGGUAAAAAGAUUUUUCUUGGGGUAUAAAAAACCAGAUUUAAAUUUAGCCCAAGGAUUAAUGAUGUAUUUUUACAUGAAGGCUGCUCAUUAUUUUACCCCCG